GUCGUAGCUCAGUGGUAGAGUGACUGCCUUGCACACAGAAGGCCCCAGGUUCAAUCCCCAGCAUCUACC